AGUCGAGCGCACCUUCGGGUGAGCGGCGGACGGGUUAGUAACGCGUGGGAACGUGCCCAGAUCUAAGGAAUAGCCACUGGAAACGGUGAGUAAUACCUUAUACGCCCUUCGGGGGAAAGAUUUAUCGGAUUUGGAUCGGCCCGCGUUAGAUUAGGUAGUUGGUGGGGUAAUGGCCUACCAAGCCUACGAUCUAUAGCUGGUUUUAGAGGAUGAUCAGCAACACUGGGACUGAGACACGGCCCAGACUCCUACGGGAGGCAGCAGUGGGGAAUCUUAGACAAUGGGGGAAACCCUGAUCUAGCCAUGCCGCGUGAGUGACGAAGGCCUUAGGGUCGUAAAGCUCUUUCGCCAUGGAUGAUAAUGACAGUACCUGGUAAAGAAACCCCGGCUAACUCCGUGCCAGCAGCCGCGGUAAUACGGAGGGGGUUAGCGUUGUUCGGAAUUACUGGGCGUAAAGCGCGCGUAGGCGGAUUGGAAAGUUGGGGGUGAAAUCCCAGGGCUCAACCCUGGAACUGCCUCCAAAACUCCCAGUCUAGAGUUCGAGAGAGGUGAGUGGAACUCCGAGUGUAGAGGUGAAAUUCGUAGAUAUUCGGAAGAACACCAGUGGCGAAGGCGGCUCACUGGCUCGAUACUGACGCUGAGGUGCGAAAGUGUGGGGAGCAAACAGGAUUAGAUACCCUGGUAGUCCACACCGUAAACGAUGAAUGCCAGUCGUCG
rnacentral:rRNA from 1 species